UUUUUUGCUUGAGUCCAGCUGGUGAUACACCGUCAUCUGCCAUAUUAUUCGAUGCUAUUGUUUGUGGGUGCAUCCCAGUAAUAGUUAGUGAUGAACUGGAGCUGCCUUUUGAAGGAAUACUUGAUCACAGAAAGGUACGCUCCCUGUUAUUAUUCUCUGCAUGUUUUGUAAGCUUUAAGUUCAGGCUUUCAUUUGGAUUUGUUGAAACUUUUGGGCUUUGACAAAAAGGAAUGAUGCCAAGGUAUUGUAGAGUUAUCCUGUGUUCGGAUGGGGAGGAAUGCUAGAAUCGGCAUGUUGAUGAGUAAAUUUUGCAGAGAAUAGUAGGCAUGUGCUUGUCUCUUGGUAUGAUCAGUGAGUGCCAGUUCUUAUGGUUUGAUGCAUUGCAAAAGCUCCUUGUUGCAUCCAUGAUGUUUGAACAAUUCCAUGGAGCAUCUUUCCUGUUACAAAAGAUUGUAGCAAUGGAUGGUCUGGUAAGUACAAUAUGGAUAAAUCAUUACUUUUUCUCCUCAAAAGUUUCAAGCGUUGGUACGAGGUUGUAGGAAGUUGUAACGAGGAUUGCUGAUUAUUAUGGCAGGCAUGCUUUCAAUAAUGAUUGUUACAGGAUUUAUGCU